rnacentral:rRNA from 1 species
AAGACCUUGCGUUUUUGGAGCGGCCGAUGUCUGAUUAGCUAGUUGGUGGGGUAAUGGCCUACCAAGGCUUCGAUCAGUAGCUGGUCUGAGAGGACGGCCAGCCACACUGGGACUGAGACACGGCCCAGACUCCUACGGGAGGCAGCAGUGGGGAAUUUUGGACAAUGGGCGCAAGCCUGAUCCAGCCAUGCCGCGUGAGUGAAGAAGGCCUUCGGGUUGUAAAGCUCUUUCAGCCGAGAAGAAAAGAUUGCGACUAAUAAUCGCAAUUCAUGACGGUACCGGCAGAAGAAGCACCGGCUAACUACGUGCCAGCAGCCGCGGUAAUACGUAGGGUGCGAGCGUUAAUCGGAAUUACUGGGCGUAAAGGGUGCGCAGGCGGUUUUGUAAGUCAGAUGUGAAAUCCCCGGGCUUAACCUGGGAACU